GAGUUUGAUCAUGGCUCAGAUUGAACGCUGGCGGCAUGCCUUACACAUGCAAGUCGAACGGCAGCACGGGAGCUUGCUCCUGGUGGCGAGUGGCGAACGGGUGAGUAAUGCAUCGGAACGUAUCCUGGAGUGGGGGAUAACGUAGCGAAAGUUACGCUAAUACCGCAUAUUCUGUGAGCAGGAAAGCGGGGGACCUUCGGGCCUCGCGCUCUUGGAGCGGCCGAUGUCGGAUUAGCUAGUUGGUGAGGUAAAGGCUCACCAAGGCGACGAUCCGUAGCAGGUCUGAGAGGAUGAUCUGCCACACUGGAACUGAGACACGGUCCAGACUCCUACGGGAGGCAGCAGUGGGGAAUUUUGGACAAUGGGGGCAACCCGUGAUCCAGCCAUCGCCGCGUGUGUGAAGAAGGUC
rnacentral:rRNA from 1 species